rnacentral:rRNA from 1 species
UACAGAGGGUGCGAGCGUUAAUCGGAAUUACUGGGCGUAAAGCGCGCGUAGGCGGCUUUUCAAGUCGAUUGUGAAAUCCCCGGGCUUAACCUGGGAACUGCAGUCGAGACUGUCUAGCUAGAGUAUGGGAGAGGGAAGUGGAAUUUCAGGUGUAGCGGUGAAAUGCGUAGAUAUCUGAAGGAACAUCAGUGGCGAAAGCGACUACCUGGCCUGUUCUUGACGCUGAGGCGCGAAAGCUAGGGGAGCAAACGGG